rnacentral:lncRNA from 1 species
UCUUAUUUCAUUAUUACUCCAUUGCUAAGUUUCACAGUGCUAAAAAAAAAAGAGAAAAGUAACAGAUGGGCUAUCUAGUAAACUUUCAGUCAGAGGUCUGAUUUCCUUUUGCAUUCUUUGUGUUUGAGUUGAUAUAACUUCCCAGAUUCCAAACAGAGCUCUACACUUAAGUUUCAAUGUUAAAUUGAAGUAAUACUCUUGCAGUGAGGCCACAGUUUUGUUUCAGAUUAAAACAAAAGUUCUGAGUAUGCCUCAAAUGUACUUCCAGAGAGGCAUCUGAAGGAACUAGAAUAAAUGACAAUGGACCCUUCUGUGAAAUAAAUUAUAGACUAGAAUGAGGAGGCAAGGGCUUCAGAAGUCUAGCUUGGCAUCAUAGACAGCACACAAAUUUUUGCAGUUAAUUCCUUUCUUUAUAGCUAUUACAAUUUUCUUUUGAUGUUACUCAGCAGGGGGAGGUCCCUUGGCAUUGUUACUCCUAGCUUCUGAGAUUUGACAGGGAGUAACCACUGAUGAUUUGACAACUUGGGGUAAAAAUAUUUGGUAAAAAUAUUCAGUAGUCUCCAUACUGGCCAGUAUUUCACAAGAGAGGGGCAGAUGAAGGACGAGGUAGAGUCUUGAUUUUAAUUGACGGUGUGUAUAAAUGAUUGGAGCUGAUGGUACCAGUAACGAGACCAUCAGACAAGAAGAUCUUAAAUUUCACUGAGCUAUUUUAGCAAUAAUAGGCCAUAAUUAUGCUUUUUGCAAGUUUAUUUUGAGAUAACAGUGAAUCAAAUAUGAGUUACAGUAAACCAAAGCAUAAGGCUUUUGGCAUUGACUUCCCGCUUCAAUUCCAGAACACAAACUUUCACUUAAAAUGGAAUACAAGGGGAGCCGAUCAAGCUAACAGAUGCCAACACUUUCUUGUGCAUGGAUUUUACCUUCCAAGUUGCAUCAUCUCCUUCCAAAGUGGCUGCACCUAAGAAUCCCCUAAAGCUUCUUUUCUGCGCUAUGAUGUAAAGCACUGAAGAACUAUAUGCAAUGCAGAGCAGAGGACGCAGCAACACUGCUUUUAUGCUGACUGGUUGUGUCUAACUCAUCCUCUACACAUAGUGAAAUUUAUGCAGAUGUCAAGAGUCUCAAGAUGCAAAAGUGUUGCAUUAUGUUAUAUUUAAACAGCAAUGGGAUAGCCGAGUGGUUUAUAUCAUAGAAAUUCCCAGAAAUAAAAUACAGAAUUAUGAAAUAAGUGUCUCUCA